CAGCUGAACUGGCACAAGCUGGAAAACCUGGGAAAUUUCAUCAAAGCCAUCCUGAAAUACGGCCUAAAGCCCAGUGACAUCUUUGAGGCCAACGACCUGUUUGAAAGUGGAAACAUGACACAAGUCCAGACCACACUGCUCGCUCUGGCCAGUAUGGCAAAGACCAACGGCAUGGACACAAAGGUUGACAUCGGCGUGAAAUAUGCAGAUAAACAAGCCCGACACUUUGAUCAAGAGAAGAUCAAGGCUGGGCAGUGUGUCAUUG